GUGCGGGGUAUAAUCUCGUGGUGCGCCGUUUUUUAAGCCCGUCGGAAAAGCGCAGUAUUCGGGUGGGAGUGACCCGAUUUUCCAGGUGCUGUCCGUCACCCCUUUCUUUGAUUAGGAAAGGAACUCCCUGACCCCUUGCGCUUCCCGAGUGAGGCAAUGCCUCGCCCUGCUUCGGCUCGCGCACGGUGCGCGCACCCACUGACCUGCGCCCACUGUCUGGCACUCCCUAGUGAGAUGAACCCGGUACCUCAGAUGGAAAUGCAGAAAUCACCCGUCUUCUGCGUCGCUCAGGCUGGGAGCUGUAGACUGGAGCUGUUCCUUUUCGGCCAUCUUGGCGCCUCCCUCAGGUCUCACAGUUUGGAGGAUAGAAUGGGAAAAUGCUGAUUGCAAGUUAUUUCCGACAUCCUUGAACUUACCGCCCACAUGUGAAUCACAGCUUCUACUGCAUGCCCACUCCUUUUGCCUAAAUAUGCAGUUAUCAUCAUACAUCCAGAAUUGCCCUCUGAAAUAAUCACAGACUCCCACUGGCACAAAGAAGAACACAUCACCUAGUCUUGGAAAGAGGAGGAAGUAAGGAAAGUCUUCCAGGAGCCGGUCAGACUUUAAGAAAAUGGCAUCUUCUACUUCCUGUUCCUUGGGAUGCUUACUCUUGGAGCACAGCCACCAAGCUGUGAGAAGUGCAAUCCAUACGGUCCCGGGCUGCAUACAUCAUCAGAGGAGAAUGUUGAUCACCUGUUUCCAAGCCUUGGCAAGGCAAUUCAGGAUAAAUG
rnacentral:lncRNA from 1 species